rnacentral:misc_RNA from 1 species
GAGAAGAACGUAGCGAAAUGCGAUAAGUAAUGUGAAUUGCAGAAUUCAGUGAAUCAUCGAAUCUUUGAACGCACAUUGCGCCCAUUAGUAUUCUAGUGGGCAUGCCUGUUCGAGCGUCAUUUCAACCCUUAAGCCUAGCUUAGUAUUGGGAAUCGACUUUACUGUCGUUCCUCAAAUUCAACGGCGGAUUUAUAGCAAUCUCUGAACGUAGUAAUUUUUUUCCUCGUUUUUGAAAUACUAUAAACCUCAGCCGCUAAACCCCCAAUUUUUUUAUGGUUGACCUCGGAUCAGGUAGGAAUACCCGCUGAACUUAAGCAUAUCAAUAAGCGGAGGA